rnacentral:rRNA from 1 species
AACAGGAUUAGAUACCCUGGUAGUCCACGCCGUAAACGAUGUCGACCAGCCGUUGGGUGCCUAGCGCACUUUGUGGCGAAGUUAACGCGAUAAGUCGACCGCCUGGGGAGUACGGCCGCAAGGUUAAAACUCAAAUGAAUUGACGGGGGCCCGCACAAGCGGUGGAGCAUGUGGUUUAAUUCGAUGCAACGCGAAGAACCUUACCUACUCUUGACAUCCUGCGAAUUUGGUAGAGAUACCUUAGUGCCUUCGGGAACGCAGAGACAGGUGCAGCAUGGCUGUCGUCAGCUCGUGUUGUGAAAUGUUGGGUUAAGUCCCGUAACGAGCGCAACCCUUGUCCUUAUUUGCCAGCGCGUAAUGGCGGGAACUCUAAGGAGACUGCCGGUGAUAAACCGGAGGAAGGUGGGGACGACGUCAAGUCAUCAUGGCCCUUACGAGUAGGGCUACACACGUGCUACAAUGGUCGGUACAAAGGGUUGCCAACUCGCGAGAGUGAGCCAAUCCCGAAAAGCCGAUCUCAGUCCGGAUCGGAGUCUGCAACUCGACUCCGUGAAGUCGGAAUCGCUAGUAAUCGUGGAUCAGAAUGCCACGGUGAAUACGUUCCCGGGCCUUGUACACACCGCCCGUCACACCAUGGGAGUGGACUGCACCAGAAGUGGUUAGCCUAACGCAAGAGGGCGAUCACCACGGUGUGGUUCAUGACUGGGGUGAAGUCGUAACAAGGUAACC